ACUCCUGCGGGAGGCAGCAGUGGGGAAUUUUGGACAAUGGGCGAAAGCCUGAUCCAGCCAUGCCGCGUGCAGGAUGAAGGCCUUCGGGUUGUAAACUGCUUUUGUACGGAACGAAACGGCCUUUUCUAAUAAAGAGGGCUAAUGACGGUACCGUAAGAAUAAGCACCGGCUAACUACGUGCCAGCAGCCGCGGUAAUACGUAGGGUGCAAGCGUUAAUCGGAAUUACUGGGCGUAAAGCGUGCGCAGGCGGUUAUGUAAGACAGUUGUGAAAUCCCCGGGCUCAACCUGGGAACUGCAUCUGUGACUGCAUAGCUAGAGUACGGUAGAGGGGGAUGGAAUUCCGCGUGUAGCAGUGAAAUGCGUAGAUAUGCGGAGGAACACCGAUGGCGAAGGCAAUCCCCUGGACCUGUACUGACGCUCAUGCACGAAAGCGUGGGGAGCAAACAGGAGUAGAAACCCCAGUAGUCCCAUGAU
rnacentral:rRNA from 1 species